rnacentral:rRNA from 1 species
AAAGCGCACGCAGGCGGUCUGUCAAGUCGGAUGUGAAAUCCCCGGGCUCAACCUGGGAACUGCAUUCGAAACUGGCAGGCUAGAGUCUUGUAGAGGGGGGUAGAAUUCCAGGUGUAGCGGUGAAAUGCGUAGAGAUCUGGAGGAAUACCGGUGGCGAAGGCGGCCCCUGGACAAAGACUGACGCUCAGGUGCGAAAGCGUGGGGAGCAAACAGGAUUAGAUACCCUGGUAGUCCACGCCGUAAACGAUGUCGAUUUGGAGGUUGUGCCCUUGAGGCGUGGCUUCCGGAGCUAACGCGUUAAAUCGACCGCCUGGGGAGUACGGCCGCAAGGUUAAAACUCAAAUGAAUUGACGGGGGCCCGCACAAGCGGUGGAGCAU